GUGCUCGCUUCAGCAGCACAUAUACUAAAAUUGGAAUGAUACAGAGAUGAUUAGCAUGGUCCUGUGAGAGAAUGAUAUGCAAAUUAGUGAAGCAUUCCAUAUUUUA
rnacentral:snRNA from 1 species